rfam:Gorilla gorilla gorilla genomic chromosome, chr8, whole genome shotgun sequence
GCCGGGUGCGGUGGCUCACACCUGUAAUCCCAGCACUUUGGGAGGCUGAGGUGGGUGGAUCACCUGAGGUCAGGAGUUCGAGACUAGCCUGACCAACAUGGAGAAACCCCGUCUCUA